GCCGACCUGAGAGGGUGAUCGGCCACACUGGGACUGAGACACGGCCCAGACUCCUACGGGAGGCAGCAGUAGGGAAUCUUCCGCAAUGGACGAAAGUCUGACGGAGCAACGCCGCGUGAGUGAUGAAGGUCUUCGGAUCGUAAAACUCUGUUGUCAGGGAAGAACAAGUUGUGUUCUAACAGGACAUGACCUUGACGGUACCUGACCAGAAAGCCCCGGCUAACUACGUGCCAGCAGCCGCGGUAAUACGUAGGGGGCAAGCGUUGUCCGGAAUUAUUGGGCGUAAAGCGCGCGCAGGCGGUCCUUUAAGUCUGAUGUGAAAGCCCACGGCUUAACCGUGGAGGGUCAUUGGAAACUGAGGGACUUGAGUACAGAAGAGGAGAGUGGAGUUCCACGUGUAGCGGUGAAAUGCGUAGAGAUGUGGAGGAACACCAGUGGCGAAGGCGACUCUCUGGUCUGUAACUGACGCUGAGGUGCGAAAGCGUGGGUAGCAAACAGGAUUAGAUACCCUGGUAGUCCACGCCGUAAACGAUGAGUGCUAGGUGUCAGGGGGUUUCCGCCCCUUGGUGCUGGAGU
rnacentral:rRNA from 1 species